UGCAGCGCGCAGAACGCCCCACGCCAGAGCAGAGGAGCAGGAUUCCCCUGCGGCGCCCGGAGCCUUACUGUCUAAAACACCGCAUGGAAAUAGGUGGUGCACUUGGCACCAGCUAAUGACUGGGACAAUUAGGUAGGAUGGCGUAAGCUGAGGAAUGUCGCUUGGGUAACAAAUGCUGGCUCCAGGACCCCAAGCUGUUCGCUACUUGCCUUCCGGCUCAGUGGGAACACUGGCACUCAAGCAAACGUAGAACCACAGGAAUACUGAGCUGGAAGGGAGCCACAAAGAUCCCCCGGCUCCUGGCCUGCACAGGACACCCCACGAACCCCACCAUGUGCCUGAGAACCUUGUCCAAACACUCCUGGAAUGCAAGGCAAUGCUUGGUGUGUGACCGCUUCCUUCGGGAGCCCGUUCCACUGCCCAGCCACCCUGCCUUGCACUGUGGCACUUCCUCAUGCACUUCACUUUCUGGUCAGUACAGCUGCUGCACCAAGGCUGUAGAACUGUGGGGAAUUCUCCUCCAAAACCAAUUCCAAAAAGAAUUUUAAAGCAUGGAAUAGUGUCUUCUCACUCUUGCAUUUUGUGAGAUCUGCAUGUAAAAGUUUUUAACUAUAAGGAAACUAAUUAAAGUAUUCCUUAGCAAUGUAUGUCAUCAAUAGGGAGCCCAGCAGUCAGCAGAAAGAUCACAGCAGCUUCAGGGUGCUCCGCCUGCAUGACAACAUACCAUAAUCUAUAGUUUUGCCUUGCACUAAGAUGAAAAGACAAAAAGAAGGGCAAAAUACAAUGUAGAAUUUUUUCUUGCAGCAUAAGCAUCUGUUUCCUGCAGGAGAUGGCAGUAUAGAAACUGUAACUGUCCUGAUGUGUCUGGAAUUUGCACUCUAAGAAGUCAUACAGCAACUUGAGGGGAGCUUAAUACUUGAGUCCUGUGUCCAGUUCUGGGCCCCUCACUUCAAGAAAGACAUUGAAGUGCUGGAGCAUGUCCAGAGAACUGCAACAGAACUGGUGAAGGGUCUGGAGCACACGUCCUGUGAGGAGUGGCUGAGGGAGCUGGGGUUUAGCCCGGAGAGGAGGAGGCUCAGGGGUGACUUUAUCCUUUUUCUAUAACUCCCAGGAAGGAGGGUGUAGCCAGGUGGGGGUCAGCCUCUUCUCACUGGCAAUCAGCAACAGGAUGAGAGGAUGUGGUCUUCAGCUAUGCCAGGAGAGGUUCAGGUUGGACAUCAGGAAGAAUUUCUCCAUGGAAAGGAUUGUCAGGAAUGGGAAGGGGCUGCCCAGGGAGAUGGUGGAAUCACCAUUCCUGGAGGCAUCCAAGGAAUGACUGGACGAGACACUCAGUGCUCUGGGCUGGUUGACAAGGCAGUGAUCAGUCAAAGGCUGGACUCAAUCAUCUUGGAGCUCUUUUCCAACCUAAGUGAUUCUGUGAGUCUAUUCUAUGGUUCCAACUUAAUGAAACAGUCACUGUGUGCUGUGGAAUUAGUAAAAUAUUAAUCCUUCAUGAUCUAGGAAGAUUUUAGGUUUUUGCUGAAAUUUGGGCAUGGAUGGGAUUUAAACUACUACUCACAAUUAGUAAAGUUUGCUUAUAGCCUGAUAUGUAAUAUUCACAGUUUAAUUUGUUAUGGGAUGUGAAACUCCUACUAACCAGAAAUAUAUCAUCGCUACCUCUAAGGUUUCAUUACUCAGUUAAAAAAUCAUCUGAACGAGUUAGUGUGUUGUGACUCUGUGGCCAUCUCCAGAUUAAUAUUGUAUGGAAACAAAUACGUUUCCAUAUUUGUUGCUGUUUAGACAGAUCCCAACAGGCAUGUCGUAAUCCCAGACAUACAUUUGUACCUGGAUGUUCUCUUUAGAGCCUGUGAAUGAAAGUGAGACAAGAAGGCUCGUGUGAAGAGGAAUUAGCUACAGUGAAUAAUCCUCAGUCCAGAGGCCCUUAAGAGACUGCAGUCAAUUCUCUGUGAAUUCUGUCUCUCUGUGCACUUCUGAGGGAGAUUACAGCAAAUGGAGCAACCACAGCAGUUUCCUGUUCUGUUAUACCAGCAGAUUAUUCAUUAUGCAUGUCCCUGGUGAGAAGUACAAUCAAACUUGUUCUCUUCAUAAGGGUGGACUUGAACACAAGUAUUUGAUCCAUGUUCUUUGAUAAGAUGCUCGGAGUAUAUUUCUAAUGAAUAUGCUAAAUUAAAUAUUUUAAUAUUAACUACUUGUUCAUUUCCCUUAACUGUAAAAUAAAUCUUGUCCCCCCUU